ACUCCUGCGGGAGGCAGCAGUGGGGAAUUUUGGACAAUGGGCGAAAGCCUGAUCCAGCAAUGCCGCGUGAGUGAAGAAGGCCCUCGGGUUGUAAAGCUCUUUUGUCAGGGAAGAAACGGUGAAAGCUAAUAUCUUUUGCUAAUGACGGUACCUGAAGAAUAAGCACCGGCUAACUACGUGCCAGCAGCCGCGGUAAUACGUAGGGUGCAAGCGUUAAUCGGAAUUACUGGGCGUAAAGCGUGCGCAGGCGGUUUUGUAAGUCUGAUGUGAAAUCCCCGGGCUCAACCUGGGAAUUGCAUUGGAGACUGCAAGGCUAGAAUCUGGCAGAGGGGGGUAGAAUUCCACGUGUAGCAGUGAAAUGCGUAGAUAUGUGGAGGAACACCGAUGGCGAAGGCAGCCCCCUGGGUCAAGAUUGACGCUCAUGCACGAAAGCGUGGGGAGCAAACAGGAUUAGAUACCCUGGUAGUCCCAU
rnacentral:rRNA from 1 species